rnacentral:rRNA from 1 species
AAAUUGAAGAGUUUGAUCAUGGCUCAGAUUGAACGCUGGCGGCAGGCCUAACACAUGCAAGUCGAGCGGUAGCACAGAGAGCUUGCUCUCGGGUGACGAGCGGCGGACGGGUGAGUAAUGUCUGGGAAACUGCCUGAUGGAGGGGGAUAACUACUGGAAACGGUAGCUAAUACCGCAUAACGUCGCAAGACCAAAGUGGGGGACCUUCGGGCCUCAUGCCAUCAGAUGUGCCCAGAUGGGAUUAGCUGGUAGGUGGGGUAACGGCUCACCUAGGCGACGAUCCCUAGCUGGUCUGAGAGGAUGACCAGCCACACUGGAACUGAGACACGGUCCAGACUCCUACGGGAGGCAGCAGUGGGGAAUAUUGCACAAUGGGCGCAAGCCUGAUGCAGCCAUGCCGCGUGUGUGAAGAAGGCCUUCGGGUUGUAAAGCACUUUCAGCGGGGAGGAAGGCGGUGAGGUUAAUAACCUCACCGAUUGACGUUACCCGCAGAAGAAGCACCGGCUAACUCCGUGCCAGCAGCCGCGGUAAUACGGAGGGUGCAAGCGUUAAUCGGAAUUACUGGGCGUAAAGCGCACGCAGGCGGUCUGUCAAGUCGGAUGUGAAAUCCCCGGGCUCAACCUGGGAACUGCAUUCGAAACUGGCAGGCUAGAGUCUUGUAGAGGGGGUAGAAUUCCAGGUGUAGCGGUGAAAUGCGUAGAGAUCUGGAGGAAUACCGGUGGCGAAGGCGGCCCCCUGGACAAAGACUGACGCUCAGGUGCGAAAGCGUGGGGAGCAAACAGGAUUAGAUACCCUGGUAGUCCACGCUGUAAACGAUGUCGAUUUGGAGGUUGUGCCCUUGAGGCGUGGCUUCCGGAGCUAACGCGUUAAAUCGACCGCCUGGGGAGUACGGCCGCAAGGUUAAAACUCAAAUGAAUUGACGGGGGCCCGCACAAGCGGUGGAGCAUGUGGUUUAAUUCGAUGCAACGCGAAGAACCUUACCUGGUCUUGACAUCCACAGAACUUUCCAGAGAUGGAUUGGUGCCUUCGGGAACUGUGAGACAGGUGCUGCAUGGCUGUCGUCAGCUCGUGUUGUGAAAUGUUGGGUUAAGUCCCGCAACGAGCGCAACCCUUAUCCUUUGUUGCCAGCGGUUAGGCCGGGAACUCAAAGGAGACUGCCAGUGAUAAACUGGAGGAAGGUGGGGAUGACGUCAAGUCAUCAUGGCCCUUACGACCAGGGCUACACACGUGCUACAAUGGCAUAUACAAAGAGAAGCGACCUCGCGAGAGCAAGCGGACCUCAUAAAGUAUGUCGUAGUCCGGAUUGGAGUCUGCAACUCGACUCCAUGAAGUCGGAAUCGCUAGUAAUCGUAGAUCAGAAUGCUACGGUGAAUACGUUCCCGGGCCUUGUACACACCGCCCGUCACACCAUGGGAGUGGGUUGCAAAAGAAGUAGGUAGCUUAACCUUCGGGAGGGCGCUUACCACUUUGUGAUUCAUGACUGGGGUGAAGUCGUAACAAGGUAACCGUAGGGGAACCUGCGGUUGGAUCACCUCCUUA